GAUGAACGCUAGCGGCAGGCUUAAUACAUGCAAGUCGAGGGGCAGCAUAAUUGUAGCAAUACAGUUGAUGGCGACCGGCAAACGGGUACGGAACACGUACAGAACCUUCCUUCGAGCGGGGAAUAGCCCAGAGAAAUUUGGAUUAAUACCCCAUAGUAUUACGGAGUGGCAUCACUUUGUAAUUAAAGAUUUAUCACUUGAAGAUGGCUGUGCGGCUGAUUAGGUAGUUGGCGGGGUAACGGCCCACCAAGCCUGCGAUCAGUAACUGGUGUGAGAGCACGACCAGUCAGACGGGCACUGAGACACGGGCCCGACUCCUACGGGAGGCAGCAGUAAGGAAUAUUGGUCAAUGGACGAAAGUCUGAACCAGCCAUGCCGCGUGAAGGAUGAAGGUCCUCUGGAUUGUAAACUUCUUUUAUAUGGGACGAAAAAAGGCUUUUCUAAGUCGUCUGACGGUACCAUAUGAAUAAGCACCGGCUAACUCCGUGCCAGCAGCCGCUGUAAAAC
rnacentral:rRNA from 1 species